rnacentral:rRNA from 1 species
GAUCCUGGCUCAGGAUGAACGCUGGCGGCGUGCUUAACACAUGCAAGUCGAACGAGCGAGAGAGAGCUUGCUUUCUCGAGCGAGUGGCGAACGGGUGAGUAACGCGUGAGGAACCUGCCUCAAAGAGGGGGACAACAGUUGGAAACGACUGCUAAUACCGCAUAAGCCCACGACCCGGCAUCGGGUAGAGGGAAAAGGAGCAAUCCGCUUUGAGAUGGCCUCGCGUCCGAUUAG